ACAGCAGCAGCCGCGGUAAUACGUAGGUGGCGAGCGUUGUCCGGAAUCAUUGGGCGUAAAGGGAGCGCAGGCGGGCGUGUAAGUCUUUCUUAAAAGUGCGGGGCUCAACCCCGUGAUGGGAAAGAAACUACAUGUCUUGAGUACAGGAGAGGAAAGCGGAAUUCCCAGUGUAGCGGUGAAAUGCAUAGAUAUUGGGAGGAACACCAGUGGCGAAGGCGGCUUUCUGGAUUGCAACUGACGCUGAGGCUCGAAAGCCAGGGGAGCGAACGGGAUUAGAUACCCGGGUAGUCCCUGUCUCUUAUACC
rnacentral:rRNA from 1 species